rnacentral:rRNA from 1 species
UACGGAGGGUGCAAGCGUUAUCCGGAUUUACUGGGUUUAAAGGGUGCGUAGGUGGGUUGGUAAGUCAGUGGUGAAAUACUUUCGCUCAACGAAGGAACUGCCAUUGAUACUAUCAAUCUUGAAUGUAGUGGAGGUAGGCGGAAUGCGUCAUGUAGCGGUGAAAUGCUUAGAUAUGACGCAGAACACCAAUUGCGAAGGCAGCUUGCUACACUACUAUUGACACUGAGGCACGAAAGCGUGGGGAUCAAACAGG